rnacentral:rRNA from 1 species
GACGUAGGGCGCGAGCGUUGUCCGGAUUUAUUGGGCGUAAAGAGCUCGUAGGCGGCUUGUCGCGUCGAAUGUGAAAUCUCAGGGCUCAACUCUGACAUUGCAUUCGAUACGGGCAGGCUAGAGUUCGGUAGGGGAGACUGGAAUUCCCGUGUAGUGGUGAAAUGCGCAGAUAUCAGGAGGAACACCGGUGGCGAAGGCGGGUCUCUGGGACGGUACUGACGCUGAGACGCGAAAGCGUGGGGAGCGAACAGG